rnacentral:rRNA from 1 species
GAGUUUGAUCGUGGCUCAGAGUGAACGCUGGCGGUAGGCCUAACACAUGCAAGUCGAACGGUAACAGGUCUUUCGGGAUGCUGACGAGUGGCGGACGGGUGAGGAAUACAUCGGAAUCUGCUCAGUCGUGGGGGAUAACGCAUGGAAACGUGCGCUAAUACCGCAUACGACCUUCGGGUGAAAGCAGGGGAAUCUUUAGGGAUCCUUGUGCGAUUGAAUGAGCCGAUGUCGGAUUAGCUAGUUGGUGGGGUAAAAGCCUACCAAGGCGACGAUCCGUAGCUGGUCUGAGAGGAUGAUCAGCCACACUGGGACUGAGACACGGCCCAGACUCCUGCGGGAGGCAGCAGUGGGGAAUAUUGGACAAUGGGGGCAACCCUGAUCCAGCCAUACCGCGUGGGUGAAGAAGGCCUUCUGGGUUGUAAAGCCCUUUUGUUGGGGAAGAAAAACAACGGGUUAAUACCCCGUUGGUA